ensembl:lncRNA
UGCCUUGUCCCGUCCAUGGCAUCCAAUCUUUGUUCUAGCUCAGAGCAGAGGGAGGGGCUCCAGGACAGGGACUUGUCCCCUACUUUCUCCUGGAGAGUCAGAAUGGCAAGCUGCAGAGAGGAUCAGGCGGUGCAUGUGGUGAACCUUGAGUCCACACAGCAGGUGUCACCUUGGUACUGGGAUGCAGGCUCCAGGUGGGCUGGGAGGGCUCAACCAAGAGUUGGCAUCCAAUGCCCAACUCUGCCAUAGACAGCCUAAGGUGAUGAUGUCAGGGCUGUGUACCUGGGGCUCCACCAUCCCCCAGUGGUGGGCACCUUAUUGAAGCAAGCCUCGGUGUUCUCCCCUGCAGCAUCAUGGCAGGGUUCUUUCUUGGGAGAAUCCAUGAGGAGAGCAGAAAAAGGCCCAGGACUGUGCCUGGAAUGGUGGCUAUACUGAAUCUGGCUCCUUGCACGGAGGUUGCCUUAACCACCAGGGUCAAGUUGAGCCAGGACACACCGGCCUCACAGGUGGGUGGGGCUCUGUGGGUAGCAUCAGCAAAGAAAGGGAGGGCUUCCCUGGUGGCUCAGUGGUAAAGAAUCUGCCUGCCAGUGCAGAAGAUAUGCGUUUGAUCCCUGGUCUGGGAAGAUACCACAUGUCACUGAGCAACUACGCCUGUGAGCCACAACUACUAAGCCUGUGCUCUAGAGCCCAGGAGCCACAACUACUGAAGCCCUCAUGCCUAGAGCCCCGGCUCUGCAGCAGGAGAAGACGCUGCCAUGAGAAAAGCCUGCACACCACAACUAGAGCGUAGCCCUCACUCACUGCAACUAGAGAAAAGCCCAUGCAGGAACAGAGAUCCAGCACAGCCAAAAAUAAUAAAACAGAAGGGAAGGGACAGACAGGGACAGGGAGGGAGGAAAGAGCAGCCAGGAGUUCCCUGGAGCCAGCUGGCGGUGGCACGGUGUGGAGCUCUAGCAGGCUUGCAAAGGCAAAAGAGCCUCAGAGCAGAGACAGGGAGAGGUUGAAGGGAGCUAGGGACAGGAUAGGAAUCUAUGAGCAAGGACGUAGAGGUUUUUAGAAGGGCAUAUAAUUGUGGGCCUCUGAGAAUGCAAAUGAAAGAAUUCCUGUUCAUCCUAAGUCCAGAUCCAAAGAGUUUGGAGGGCUUGUUUGUAUGUCAGC